GCAUCUCCAUCGGUAGUAGAGCGUGAGACUCUUAAUCUCAGGUUCGUGGGUUCAAGGCCCCAUGUUGGGCA